rnacentral:lncRNA from 1 species
GCGUCAUUCUGCGACGAUUAUUUCUAUUCGUAUGUCUUCAUGUUUGGAAAUUUAUAAAUGAAAAUUGAUAAAUGAAAUUUAUAAAUGUCAAUCCUAAAAGAGAUCGUAAACCCAUGGUCAUUGCCCUUAUAAUUCUGAAGGAUGUUCCUUCCUGUUAGAGAAGAUUGCUUGAUCUGAGCGAUAGAGAAUGGUUUUGUUAUUAUAUAGUGAUUAGAAAUUGUUACUAAUAAAGUAAAGAGAAAAAAAGAAAGG